CCUACGGGAGGCAGCAGUGGGGAAUAUUGGGCAAUGGACGCAAGUCUGACCCAGCAACGCCGCGUGAAGGAAGAAGUCUUUCGGUUUGUAAACCUCUAUUAAGGGGGAAGAGCAGAAGACGGUACCCAUUGAGUAACCCACGGCUAACUACGUGCCAGCAGCCGCGGUAUUACGUAGGUGGCAAGCGUUGUCCGGAUUUACGGGGUGUAAAGGGCGUGCAGCCGGAGAGACAAGUCAGAUGUGAAAGCCACGGGCUCAACCCGUGAACUGCAUUUGAAACUGUUACCCUUGAGUGUCGGAGAGGUAAGCGGAAUUCCUAGUGUAGCGGUGAAAUGCGUAGAUAUAAGGAAGAACACCAGUGGCGAAGGCGGAUUACUGGACGAUAACUGACGGUGAGGCGCGAAAGCGUGGGGAGCAAACAGGAUUAGAUACCCCAGUAGUC
rnacentral:rRNA from 1 species